rnacentral:lncRNA from 1 species
CAGCAGCAUUCUUGGAAUGUCAGAUUUUCAAGUGUCUCCCUCAAAUGUUGAUUUAAAAAAAACUUAAUCAUGAUAAAAUGACUUGGAAAAGGUGUUUUAACCUUUUUUAAUAAAAGUAAUCUUCCAGAAUAUUAUGUUCAUCUUACUGCUGCUGUGGAACAGGUUCUGGAUUUCAUGCUGCAUUAAGGAAUUGAAUUUUUCAAUUAAAUCAUCCAAAGAAUGCCACUUCUAACCCAUGGACUGGUUUUGGGCAAAAGUCUGGCAGUACUAUCUCCUGCACUCUAUGGAAUGCAGAAUUCACCUUUGGGAUAAAGCACUCUCUCCGUGCUUCUUCCUUGCAUGAAGACUGAGUCCAAAACUGGGAAUGCUGAGGAGGCGAGACUAAGCUUUGAUUGACUCAAUCUUCAAGCAAGUAAGCAGAGACAACCCAUGCUUUGGAUUCUGCAACCAGUACAACUGAGAACUGAUACAUCAUGAUGCAGACUAAGCUAAAACACUUGACUCAACUGAUAUUUCAAAUGUUCAACCUAUAACACGAUAGACUCUUUAACUGUUAAGAAAGUAAACAAGAGUUCCCAGGACUGUAAGACCAACCAGUUAACUUAAUCUCUGUCCCUCCU